AUUGAACGCUGGCGGCAGGCCUAACACAUGCAAGUCGAGCGGAUGAAGAGAGCUUGCUCUCUGAUUCAGCGGCGGACGGGUGAGUAAUGCCUAGGAAUCUGCCUGGUAGAGGGGGACAACGUUUCGAAAGGAACGCUAAUACCGCAUACGUCCUACGGGAGAAAGUGGGGGAUCUUCGGACCUCACGCUAUCAGAUGAGCCUAGGUACGAUUAGCUAGUUGGUGAGGUAAAGGCUCACCAAGGCGACGAUCGUUAACUGGUCUGAGAGGAUGAUCAGUCGCACUGGAACUGAGACACGGUCCAGACUCCUACGGGAGGCAGCAGUGGGGAAUAUUGGACAAUGGGCGAAAGCCUGAUCCAGCCAUGCCGCGUGUGUGAAGAAGGUCUUCGGAUUGUAAAGCACUUUAAAUUGGGAGGAAGGGCAGUAAGUUAAUACCUUGCUGUUUUGACGUUACCGACAGAAUAAGCACCGGCUAACUCCGUGCCAGCAGCCGCCGUAAUAC
rnacentral:rRNA from 1 species